ensembl:lncRNA
CCUGCCUCCUCUCUGUCUACAGAAGUGUACUGCAGCACAUCGGUGAGACGUCACCAUCCCCAUGCUGCGCACUGAGCAUUUCGCCUUGUCAUUGCCUGUGACAUUUCAGUGCUCUUGCCUCAGAUGAAAACCUGCCACUUGCUCGGUGGUGCAAGUGACAGGUCUGAUGGCUCUCACUGCAGCUGUGGGAUGGUUACCAAGAAGUCUUGCCCAGAGGUAUCUCCUAUGUCGAUCCUAGGAGACGUCCCUACUGCUUGUGAGGAUUCCUCUAGCCAGCAGGAUGGGGAUGGCUGCUGAGGUCAUUUCAGCUAUUUCAUCAGCUGUCUUGGUGAAAAAGGGGCUCCGUGCUGAGUACCAAAGAUGGAAUGGGAAUGUUCCUUCACUGCCAGUAAACUUGUUCAGGAGCUGCACACAACUGAGACCUUCCCUUCAUCUCCCUGGGAGGCUGCAGCCAGUUCAUCAAAGGGUAGCGAUCCAAGUCUCUGUCAUCUCCAGGAAUCAUUGCAGUGUGUUCACCCUUGGCUAAGCUUGAAGGAGCCCUGAAAGUUGCAG